CCAUGCCUAUACUUUAUUAUCUUUUGUAUUAAGUUGUUGUAUAAAGGUUUUCAAGGGCAACCUUGACAUUUUUGAAAUUAUUUGUCUUUAUGAUUAAAUUAAAGUUUUCUAGAGUGUUUUGGAUAGUUUUCCAUUCAAGUUUAAUCUUAUUUAUUUAAAAAAUAUUUUUUAAAACCAGAAGAGAGUCUCUCAAAAUCCAUUCAAAUCUUUAAUCAAAGUCCAUAAAAUCCUUUCAAAUCUUUUAUCAAAAUCUAUAAGAAUAUUUUAAAGUUGUAAGGAUUCUACAAUCCUUUAAAAUCUGUGACUUAUUAAAAAAAUCUUUUAAAAUAAUCUGAAAUACACAAUGACUACGCCCCUUUUAGUUUACAAAAUACAUAUCUUUCUUAUAUGUUAGGAUUAUAAAAUCCUCCAUGCUUAUCUCGUUGUUCUAUCUUCCAUCGUAAACAAAUCCACCGUACUAUAUCACCACAUUCUAUAACCAUCACCCUUCAAUGUUGUGAGCUGCAAUCAAUUGAAAUGACUCCGAUUCGGCACAUCUCCACCAGCACCAUCCGACCAACGAAUG
rnacentral:lncRNA from 1 species